CAGUCGCCGCGGGAAUACGUAGGGUGCAAGCGUUAAUCGGAAUUACUGGGCGUAAAGCGUGCGCAGGCGGUUUGUUAAGACAGAUGUGAAAUCCCCGGGCUCAACCCAGGGGCUGCACGAGAAACUGCAGGGCUUGAGUAUGGGAGAGGUGAGUGGAAUUUCCGGUAGCGGUGAAAUGCGUAGAUAUCGGAAGGAACACCUGUGGCGAAAGCGGCUCACUGGACCAUUACUGACGCUGAGGCGCGAAAGCUAGGGGAGCAAACAGGAUUAGAUACCCCUGUAGUCCCUGUCUCUUAUACAC
rnacentral:rRNA from 1 species